UACGUAGGGACCGAGCGUUGUCCGGAAUCAUUGGGCGUAAAGAGCGUGUAGGCGGCUGACUAAGUCCUGCGUGAAAUUUCGGGGGCUCAACCCCCGAACGGUCGUGGGAAACUGGUCGGCUAGAGUGCGGGGAGAGGAGAGUGGAAUUCCUGGUGUAGCGGUGAAAUGCGCAGAUAUCAGGAGGAACACCAGUGGCGAAAGGCGGCUCACUGGCCCCGAUACUGACGCUGAGGCACGAAAAGCGUGGGGGGAGCAAAACAGG
rnacentral:rRNA from 1 species